CCGCUUCCACCCCGCAGAGGCGGGCGCUGGCUGAAAGCGGACGCAGAAACCUUGCCGGGGAGCCCAGCCAAGCGCUGUGUUUUUCCAGGUCUGCGCAGGCCAGGGGAGCCCUGCGUGUUUGCUUGAUUCAGUCAUCAGAAGCCUAUCAGACGUGCUUGGACUCAGCCC
rnacentral:lncRNA from 1 species